CGGAAUCACGUCGAAUUUCGGCAAGAACUUCGCAUCGCAAAAUCAUUUUAUUUGUCAAAUCAAAAGUUAGUGUUUUAAGUGUUUGUUGUGAGUGAGAAUAUACGAAAACGUUAUAAACCGCUGUUAAUUAUUAAAAAAAUACUAUUAAUUAACAAAAUUGCACUUUAAAAUAACUUUAUUCUUCAUCGAUAUUUUAUGGAGCGUAUGUUUUUAUUGAAAACAUUGUUGAAAGAGGCUGACGCUACGGAUCAGCGUGAAAUGCGUCGACAAGCCUACGAAAUUCACAAUUUAUCACUUUUAACUUGAGAUGACGACUAUGUAAAAGUAUAAAGAAAGUGUAUAGAUUGUCGAAGGAUCAUAUGAACCAGUUAGGGUGUGAAUUACACCCUUUGAUGAAGACCACUAAAAGCCAUUGAAAAGGACUUUCAACUCUUCUAAAGUUUCAGUUAUUGUGCACCUUGUUAUUUUUGGCCAAUUGAAGUUACCAAAAAAAU